rnacentral:rRNA from 1 species
UACGGAGGGGGCUAGCGUUGUUCGGAAUUACUGGGCGUAAAGCGCACGUAGGCGGCUUUGUAAGUUAGAGGUGAAAGCCCGGGGCUCAACUCCGGAAUUGCCUUUAAGACUGCAUCGCUAGAAUUGUGGAGAGGUAAGUGGAACUCCCGGUGUAGUGGUGGAAUGCGUAGAUAUCGGGAAGAACACCAGUGGCGAAGGCGGUUGCCUGGAGCUUUGCUGACGCUGAGGCGCGAAAGCGUGGGGAGCGAUCCGG